UAACACGUGGGCAACCUACCUGUAAGAUUGGGAUAACUCCGGGAAACCGGGGCUAAUACCGGAUAAUACUUUUUGCCACAUGGCAGAAAGUUGAAAGGCGGCUUUUGCUGUCACUUACAGAUGGGCCCGCGGCGCAUUAGCUAGUUGGUGGGGUAAUGGCCUACCAAGGCGACGAUGCGUAGCCGACCUGAGAGGGUGAUCGGCCACACUGGGACUGAGACACGGCCCAGACUCCUACGGGAGGCAGCAGUAGGGAAUCUUCCGCAAUGGACGAAAGUCUGACGGAGCAACGCCGCGUGAGUGAUGAAGGUUUUCGGAUCGUAAAACUCUGUUGUUAGGGAAGAACAAGUAUCGUUCGAAUAGGGCGGUACCAUGACGGUACCUAACCAGAAAGCCCCGGCUAACUACGUGCCAGCCAGCCGCGGUAAUACGUAGGGGGCAAGCGUUGUCCGGAAUUAUUGGGCGUWAAGCGCUCGCAGGCGGUCUUUUAAGUCUGAUGUGAAAGCCCACGGCUUAACCGUGGAGGGUCAUUGGAAACUGGGAGGACUUGAGUACAGAAGAGGAGAGUGGAAUUCCCCGUGUAGCGGGUGAAAUGC
rnacentral:rRNA from 1 species